CUCUGCGGUGACUUCUGCUGUCUUUUGGGUCCGCCAGGAUUCCAAAAUCCCAGGCGGGUCGCUAGAAUUAUCCAUCUUCGUGGACAGGAAGCCCCAGAACGAACCACAUCUGUCCCACUCUGCUUCCGCCCUCCUUCCCCUUCGCAAGCUCCUGGCUGGGAUGGAGACAUCGGACGAGCUCGGAGAUCCCGACCUCUCAGGGGUCACUCGCAGCCGAACAGCCUGGAAUAUGGCCUUGUGGGCCCUUCCCGCCCAACCCCCUAGGACCCCACUGCUCAUCUUGUCAACCAGUUUCUGAGCCCCUACCCUGGCUGCAGCACGUGCUCGCACAGGCGCGCUGAGCUACUAACAUAGAAUCAAAAGCAGGGAGUUGGGUGUUCUUGCUUUCCCGCUGAAACCUAGAAUGUAAACAAGCCCUAGACCGUCAGCUGUGGGUGGGUAGGGGCCUCUCCCUGCCUAGAACUGCUCUUGCCAUGGGUAGGCACCUAACCCGUAUUAGUAAGAAUGAAGGAAUGCAUGCUCAUAACAAGAAAGGGGUCAACCUGCUGCCCUGAUACUCACCUUCACCACUUACGUCUUGCUUCCAGCGCAAGCCCACUUCAGACCAUUGCCUCAUUCAGGUCCCAGAAGUCCUAAGGGUUUUAGUCUCUCAGUAUGGGCAAUUAUUCACAUGUAAGGGAGCUGCAAGGUGUUAUUUCAAUGCCAUCUGGCCUCUAUAAGGUCUUGCAUCAUAGCUGACCUCUCAUGAGAAGGUUCUGAUGAGGUCACCAGGGAGAAGGAAUGUAAAGGGCUGGUGGCUGAAAAGGAGUGAAAUGGCCCCUCUUAGGUGAGCUCUGGCCUGGUUUGAGUUUCAAUUCUGUCUCCUCAGCUCCAUUUCUCAAUGGGAAAAGGUCCAUAGGAAGGUUGUCAGAAGGGCAGGAGACUAGGGCAGGGAUAGCCCUUUGCAGACCCUGAAAAAUUGCUCAGUAAUGCAAACAUUGUCCAUAUUUAAGUUCUUUCUUUUCUUUUCUUUUUUUUUUGAGGCAGAGUCUCACUCUGUCGCCCAGGCUGGAGUGCUAUGGCUUGGCUCACUGCAAGCUCCGCCUCCUGGGUUCACGCCAUUCUCCUGCCUCAGCCUCCCAAGUAGCUGGGACUACAGGCGCCCGCCACUACGCCCGGCUAAUUUUUCGUAUUUUCAGUAGAGACGGGGUUUCACCGUGUUAAUCAGGAUGGUCUCGAUCUCCUGACCUUGUGAUCCGCCCGCCUCGGCCUCCCAAAGUGCUGGGAUUAGAGGCGUGAGCCACUGCGCCCAGCCUUAAGUUCUUUAUUUUCUAUCUUGUGGACCAAAGGACUGCUACAGGCAAGGAAGACCAUCUGACUCAAUUCCAGAGGUUCCUUAGCAUGCUGCUGACUGGCCUAGGAGAAUGGCCUUUGCCCAUAAAGUAUUAGAUGUAGACCACAUGAAUGGAAUAUUCACCAGGUUUCUGCCCAGGUCUGGAUUGGGCAAGGACAUGGCUGGAGGUGCCUUACAGGAGAGAAGGCCAAAGAGAGAGAAGACUUGACUCCCAACCUGAUUCCAGCAGAACUCCACUUUGAUGUGUUUUUAAAAUUGUGCUCUUCUGUUUGCUUUCACGGAGGCUGCCAUGAAACGUCAUCUUUGACUAGAAUUAUCAGGAAAUGCUCAUGGAAGAAAUAUACUUCCUUGGAUUUUUUUUCCUACCACACUUCAGGAUAUAACUAGAGAAAACAUUUGCCAACAGUGCUUAUCAUAUUAGUACCCUGUGAAGGUUUUCAUAGAUGCUGAUUAUUAUUUUUAAAAUCAUUUCGGGAAUAGGAGCCAAACACUAGGUCAUGACUGUACUUACUUUAGUAUUUACAUUAAGUGAUGAAAAAUGGAAAUAAAGGAAAUGUCCUGUCAUGAAACAAGUUAGAAUUAGGUGACUUUCAUGUCCUGAUUUCCAAGGUUUUCUGUUUGUUUCAGACAGACAAGAUCAUCCAUGGGUUCUUGGACAAGUAAUAGGUCUCAUUUUCCCUUGUAGACCAGAAGACAUGGAAAAGACAGCAUAUUCGGACUAUAUUCAUAUUUCCAUACCAUCUUUUGUUGUAAUUGAUUUUCAACAAGAGCCCCUAACAAUCUCUUGAGUUUGGGCCAUCCCCAUAUUCUACAAGGGAAAAUGAGAUCUCUUACUACUCCAAUAACCCAUGCUUACACUAUCUGUAUGGAACAAACAGAGAACCAUCAAAAUCUGAACGCAGAAGUCACUUAUUUAGUCCCAAUCUAUUUUGUGAAAGAAAAUUUCUUUUACUCAAAGAGAUGAAGAAAUUUACGGAAUGGCUUGGGAAUGAGAAGAUUCAGGUGGGACCAUGGAAGCAAAGCUUGUUCUUUUGUGGAUGGUAAGAUUGUCUUCAGGCACUGUCACUCCUUUAUGACACUAAAACAGUAUUUUAGAAUCCCCUAAAUUUCAAUAGGAUGUGAUUGGUAGGAGCCAUGGGUUCUAAUCUUAACAGCUGCUGUGGUGGGUGCUCCUGGCAGUCACUCAUCCUUUGUUAUCUCUUCCUUCUUUGGCCAUAAAACAGUAGUGGCAGAAUUGGCCCACUAUGUGUAGCUGCAUAAAGGGGACAUCAUGACAAUGGUUAUGAAGCACUGCAAAUGCAUUGCAUUUACAGUAGUACUGCCUGCUAAAAAGGAGAUGAAAAUGAUGUUGAGAUGGGAAAAUAGUGUGGUAUGAACAAUUCCUAUUUACAUGUGCAAUUUACAUUUUUCUUUCCAUUUACAUGUGCAAUUUCCUCCUUCCUUCCCUUUCCUCCCUCCCUUCCUGUCUCUCUCUCUCUCUCUUUCCCUCUUUCUCUCUUUCGUUCUCAGACUCACACUCUGUCACCCAGGCUGGAGUGCAGUGGUGCAAUCUUGGCUCACUACAACCUCCACCUCCCAAGUUCAGGUGAUUCCUUUGCCUCAGCCACCCGAGUACCUGGGAGUACAGGCGUGGGCCACCACGCCUGGCUCAUUUUUGUAUUUAUAGUAGAGACGGGGUUUUGCCAUGUUGGUCAGGCUGGUUUCCAACUCCUGGCCUCAAGUCAUCUGCCCACCUCAACCUCCCAAAGUGCUGGGAUUAUAGGUGUGAGCCAUCACGCCCAGCCCAUUUAUUUUAAUGUCAUUAGAUUAUUGUCCUUUCAGUAUUUAAGUGGAAAUGAGAGGAAACCAUCUUUAUUCUUUAAGGAGGAAUACAGCUUCUAAAAGUUUUGGUUACCUAAAGUUUUUGAAGGUGUAAUAGGAAUGAGUUACCAGAACAGGAAGAAUUGUAGAAGCAGACCUAGAGUUGAGGAAAAUUUUACUUACAUGGAUAGUAUUUUUUUCCUCUCCCUGGCUCCUACCACCUCUCUCAACAUAUAUUUACUGAGAAAGUUGUUCACAAUUUAAAGAGGUUGAGCUAAAGAUCUUAGCAAAGAAAUGCAAUCAAUGCAAUCAAAGCUGGAGAUUCGUUUUUUUUUUUUUUUUUUUUUUGAGACAGAGUCUUGCUCUGUCACUAACGCUGGAGUGCAGUGGUGCGAUCUUAGCUCACUACAACCUCUGUCUCCCUGGUUCAAGCGAUUCUCCUGUCUCAGCCUCCUAAGUAGCUGGGACAACAGGCACAUGCCGCCAGGCCCAGCUAAUUUUUGUAUUUUCAGUAGAGACAGGGUUUCGCCAUGUUGGUCAGGCUGGUCUUGAGCUCCUGACCUCAAGUGAUCCACCUACCUUGGCCUCCCAAAAUGCUGGGAUUACAAGUGUGAGCCACCGUGCCUGGCCCAGAAGCUGCAGAUUCUAAUACUAGCUUUGCAAUGUAUUCAUUCUGAUACCUUGGGCACGUCAUCAACCUUCCAUAUCUUAGUUUCCUAUCUGGGAAACUGCAGUGGUACUUAUGACCAAUUUCACAGAGAUGACAGCAAUAACUAAUGAUAGGCACUUAGAUUUUAGACUUAAUGGGAGUUAGUUCCCUUGACACAGCAGUAUGGGAACAAUAACUGGCCAGCCAAUGAGUGAAAAAGCUGGAUUAUCCCUUAGAAAUGAAUUGUAUCAUUACUGAUUAUGAAUACACCAAAUUAUGACAGAUUCACAUGUAAGAAUGCCAGGGAAAAGUAGCCGUGAGCUAUAAUAUACAAAAUUGUUUAUUACCCAAGAGAAUCUAGGUGCUAAUACGGAUGGUACUACACCUGUGAAAUUCUGAAACCCUUGAAGGAUUUGAAGAUAUAAAGCCAAAUAAAACAUAAUACAGAGGGAAAUGAUUUUGAUUAUGUAACAUUUAUAUAUAGCAUUUGUUUUUACAUUUUCAAAUUGCUUUUCAGUCAUUGGUUUAUUCUUCACAGCACACCUGGGGAGUACAUCUGUGCAUUUAUCCUCUGUUCACAGCUGAGGCAACUGAGACUGAAACAGGCAAAGUGGUUUGUCCAAGAGCAAAGCCAGGGGCAGGGAAGUUUGAAAGAAAGAAAAAUAUGCCAAGAUGAUUAAGUUUCACCUAAGAUUUUAAAGCUCCCACCUAAAAGAUGUGGAAAACAAGCACUAUACCAGGAUAUUGUACCUUAUUUCUGCCCUGUCUUAAAAACACCAUGACAUUUUCCUUGAUUUCAAGAAUACAGAAAAUGAACAUGGUCCUUUAAAUUAUGUGACUCUUUCGAAGCAAAAUGACAACAAGGAAAAACCACAUUUGUUUUCUGCCUCCCUUUUUCAAGAAGCUGAAAAUAUAGUGUAAAUGAACUCUUGGUCGUGGGUCAACAUCCUUACAAUACCUGCCCCUCGUUCUCAGGUUAGAGAUUUCUCCUCUGCCUUUUCAUUCUCACCCACACCCAACUUGAAAUAGGUCUCCAGGUCCCAUUUUGAUCACAUAUUCUUUCAGUCACAUGCGGAACAUGAGAAGGGGUUAAAUGUAGCUCUGCAAGACCAGCAAAACUCAUCACUAAACUGGAAAACAACUUCAGGCUUACUAUCAACAGGGGGUAGUUAGCAUCAGUUUAAAGACUGUGAAUGUGCACAAAUGUUUUCUAAGAAUAUUUUUCAGAAGAGUGUAAUUAUAGGUAUAAUCUCUAAUUGCAUUAUAAAUGAUAAAUAAGAGACGGUUAGCAAACUAUAUUUCAGGGCUGUUUGCUGUACUUAUCUGCUGCCAUCACUGGCCCUGUCUUCCUUUGUGACUGCAGACUGUGUUGUUUAUUAGUCUUGGUGGUAAGGGGGAAUUGCUGUACAGUACUUUUGUGUUAGGACAGGAUCUUACAGAUGAUAAUGAAGGUUGCAGGAAGGACUGUUGAAACGUUUUAUUUUGGUAUUUGUUUCAUUUUUAAAGGCUGUGACUAGGACUUCAUACCUGUCUAAUAAGCAUGCAUGUAACAUUUUUAUAUUUGCUGAGUGCUUCAUAGUCCUCCAUUAGUCCCCACAAUACCCCUUGAGGGUAGGUCAGUAUUACAGUUUACAAUAUGAGGAAAUUUAAGAUACAAAGGGAUUAUGUGAUUUGUACAAGGUCACCCAGCAUGCAAGCCUAGCUAAUAAAAUAUGACUACAAAGCUCUUUCCAAAUAAAAAGUACCUUAUAAAUGUUAGGUAGUAUUAAUGGGUAUGAUCCCAGAAUGAGUAAAAUACUCUUCAGGAGUAAAGUGCUCAUACAUGGUAUAUAAUAUUAAUUCUCUCUCUUUUUUUUUUUUUUUUUUUAACCUGUGGGUGACUUUUGAAAUAGUUAUUCUUGAACCUGGCUAUGCAUCAGAAAUGUCUCUAGAGUUUUUAGAACAUGUGAGCACAUAGACCCCUACUCAGCCGACAGAAUCAUAAUCUGGGCAGUGGGAUUUAGAUAAUUAUGCCUUGAAAAAUCUCCAUGGGGGAUUUGGAUGCUCAGUCAGAGCUGAGAACCACUACUCUAGGCUAGAAGAGUAACAUCGGUCAGGCCAAGAGCAACAACAAAACACUGUGGAGUUAAUUCAGAAGAGAAAGUCUGGUGUCUUCCAGGCCUCUGUCCAGCCAGUUCACAACUAUUAUUAGCAGAGGAACUGCCUCCCUGAAAUAAUCAACUGUAAUAACCAUGUGUGAAAUUCCCGGAAAUAGUGCAGAGAUUAAAGUUUAUUUAAGAACCGUCA